AAAACUUUUAACAACGGAUCUCUUGGUUCUGG
rnacentral:rRNA from 1 species